UCGAACGGUAGCACAGAGGAGCUUGCUCCUUGGGUGACGAGUGGCGGACGGGUGAGUAAUGUCUGGGAAACUGCCCGAUGGAGGGGGAUAACUACUGGAAACGGUAGCUAAUACCGCAUAACGUCGCAAGACCAAAGAGGGGGACCUUCGGGCCUCUUGCCAUCGGAUGUGCCCAGAUGGGAUUAGCUAGUAGGUGGGGUAACGGCUCACCUAGGCGACGAUCCCUAGCUGGUCUGAGAGGAUGACCAGCCACACUGGAACUGAGACACGGUCCGGACUCCUACGGGAGGCAGCAGUGGGGAAUAUUGCACAAUGGGCGCAAGCCUGAUGCAGCCAUGCCGCGUGUAUGAAGAAGGCCUUCGGGUUGUAAAGUACUUUCAGCGAGGAGGAAGGCGUUGUGGUUAAUAACCGCAACGAUUGACGUUACCCGCAGAAGAAGCACCGGCUAACUCCGUGCCAGCCGCCGCGGUAA
rnacentral:rRNA from 1 species